rnacentral:miRNA from 1 species
CUUUUUGCGGUCUGGGCUUU